rnacentral:rRNA from 1 species
UGUGCGAUGAAGGUCUUCGGAUCGUAAAGCACUGUCGCCCGGGAAAAAGAAAAUGAUGGUACCGGGAGAGGAAGCACCGGCUAACUCUGUGC